GAUUAAGUUAUUAAGGGCGCACGGUGGAUGCCUUGGCACUAGAAGCCGAUGAAGGACGUUACUAACGACGAUAUGCUUUGGGGAGCUGUAAGUAAGCUUUGAUCCAGAGAUUUCCGAAUGGGGAAACCCAGCAUGAGUUAUGUCAUGUUAUCGAUAUGUGAAUACAUAGCAUAUCAGAAGGCACACCCGGAGAACUGAAACAUCUUAGUACCCGGAGGAAGAGAAAGAAAAUUCGAUUCCCUUAGUAGCGGCGAGCGAAACGGGAAGAGCCCAAACCAACAAGCUUGCUUGUUGGGGUUGUAGGACACUCUAUACGGAGUUACAAAGGACGACAUUAGACGAAUCAUCUGGAAAGAUGAAUCAAAGAAGGUAAUAAUCCUGUAGUCGAAAAUGUUGUCUCUCUUGAGUGGAUCCUGAGUACGACGGAGCACGUGAAAUUCCGUCGGAAUCUGGGAGGACCAUCUCCUAAGGCUAAAUACUCUCUAGUGACCGAUAGUGAACCAGUACCGUGAGGGAAAGGUGAAAAGCACCCCGGAAGGGGAGUGAAAUAGAACCUGAAACCGUGUGUUUACAAGUAGUCAGAGCCCGUUAAUGGGUGAUGGCGUGCCUUUUGUAGAAUGAACCGGCGAGUUACGAUUUGAUGCAAGGUUAAGCAGUAAAUGUGGAGCCGUAGCGAAAGCGAGUCUGAAUAGGGCGUUUAGUAUUUGGUCGUAGACCCGAAACCAGGUGAUCUACCCUUGGUCAGGUUGAAGUUCAGGUAACACUGAAUGGAGGACCGAACCGACUUACGUUGAAAAGUGAGCGGAUGAACUGAGGGUAGCGGAGAAAUUCCAAUCGAACCUGGAGAUAGCUGGUUCUCUCCGAAAUAGCUUUAGGGCUAGCCUCAAGUGAUGAUUAUUGGAGGUAGAGCACUGUUUGGACGAGGGGCCCCUCUCGGGUUACCGAAUUCAGACAAACUCCGAAUGCCAAUUAAUUUAACUUGGGAGUCAGAACAUGGGUGAUAAGGUCCGUGUUCGAAAGGGAAACAGCCCAGACCACCAGCUAAGGUCCCAAAAUAUAUGUUAAGUGGAAAAGGAUGUGGCGUUGCCCAGACAACUAGGAUGUUGGCUUAGAAGCAGCCAUCAUUUAAAGAGUGCGUAAUAGCUCACUAGUCGAGUGACACUGCGCCGAAAAUGUACCGGGGCUAAACAUAUUACCGAAGCUGUGGAUUGUCCUUUGGACAAUGGUAGGAGAGCGUUCUAAGGGCGUUGAAGCAUGAUCGUAAGGACAUGUGGAGCGCUUAGAAGUGAGAAUGCCGGUGUGAGUAGCGGAAGACGGGUGAGAAUCCCGUCCACCGAUUGACUAAGGUUUCCAGAGGAAGGCUCGUCCGCUCUGGGUUAGUCGGGUCCUAAGCUGAGGCCGACAGGCGUAGGCGAUGGAUAACAGGUUGAUAUUCCUGUACCACCUAUAAUCGUUUUAAUCGAUGGGGGGACGCAGUAGGAUAGGCGAAGCGUGCGAUUGGAUUGCACGUCUAAGCAGUAAGGCUGAGUAUUAGGCAAAUCCGGUACUCGUUAAGGCUGAGCUGUGAUGGGGAGAAGACAUUGUGUCUUCGAGUCGUUGAUUUCACACUGCCGAGAAAAGCCUCUAGAUAGAAAAUAGGUGCCCGUACCGCAAACCGACACAGGUAGUCAAGAUGAGAAUUCUAAGGUGAGCGAGCGAACUCUCGUUAAGGAACUCGGCAAAAUGACCCCGUAACUUCGGGAGAAGGGGUGCUCUUUAGGGUUAACGCCCAGAAGAGCCGCAGUGAAUAGGCCCAAGCGACUGUUUAUCAAAAACACAGGUCUCUGCUAAACCGUAAGGUGAUGUAUAGGGGCUGACGCCUGCCCGGUGCUGGAAGGUUAAGAGGAGUGGUUAGCUUCUGCGAAGCUACGAAUCGAAGCCCCAGUAAACGGCGGCCGUAACUAUAACGGUCCUAAGGUAGCGAAAUUCCUUGUCGGGUAAGUUCCGACCCGCACGAAAGGCGUAACGAUUUGGGCACUGUCUCAACGAGAGACUCGGUGAAAUCAUAGUACCUGUGAAGAUGCAGGUUACCCGCGACAGGACGGAAAGACCCCGUGGAGCUUUACUGUAUCCUGAUAUUGAAAUUCGGCACAGCUUGUACAGGAUAGGUAGGAGCCUUUGAAACGUGAGCGCUAGCUUACGUGGAGGCGCUGGUGGGAUACUACCCUAGCUGUGUUGGCUUUCUAACCCGCACCACUUAUCGUGGUGGGAGACAGUGUCAGGCGGGCAGUUUGACUGGGGCGGUCGCCUCCUAAAAGGUAACGGAGGCGCUCAAAGGUUCCCUCAGAAUGGUUGGAAAUCAUUCAUAGAGUGUAAAGGCAUAAGGGAGCUUGACUGCGAGACCUACAAGUCGAGCAGGGUCGAAAGACGGACUUAGUGAUCCGGUGGUUCCGCAUGGAAGGGCCAUCGCUCAACGGAUAAAAGCUACCCCGGGGAUAACAGGCUUAUCUCCCCCAAGAGUUCACAUCGACGGGGAGGUUUGGCACCUCGAUGUCGGCUCAUCGCAUCCUGGGGCUGUAGUCGGUCCCAAGGGUUGGGCUGUUCGCCCAUUAAAGCGGUACGCGAGCUGGGUUCAGAACGUCGUGAGACAGUUCGGUCCCUAUCCGUCGUGGGCGUAGGAAAUUUGAGAGGAGCUGUCCUUAGUACGAGAGGACCGGGAUGGACAUACCUCUGGUGUACCAGUUGUCGUGCCAACGGCAUAGCUGGGUAGCUAUGUGUGGACGGGAUAAGUGCUGAAAGCAUCUAAGCAUGAAGCCCCCCUCAAGAUGAGAUUUCCCAACUUCGGUUAUAAGAUCCCUCAAAGAUGAUGAGGUUAAUAGGUUCGAGGUGGAAGCAUGGUGACAUGUGGAGCUGACGAAUACUAAUCGAUCGAAGACUUAAUCAA
rnacentral:rRNA from 1 species